AUACGGAGGGUGCAAGCGUUAAUCGGAAUUACUGGGCGUAAAGCGCGCGUAGGCGGUUUGAUAAGUCGGAUGUGAAAUCCCCGGGCUCAACCUGGGAAUUGCAUUCGAUACUGUCAGGCUAGAGUGUGGUAGAGGGAAGUGGAAUUUCCGGUGUAGCGGUGAAAUGCGUAGAUAUCGGAAGGAACACCAGUGGCGAAGGCGGCUUCCUGGACCAACACUGACGCUGAGGUGCGAAAGCGUGGGGAGCAAACAGGAUUAGAUACCCUAGUAGUCC
rnacentral:rRNA from 1 species